GAUGAACGCUGGCGGCGUGCCUAAUACAUGCAAGUCGAGCGAACGGACGAGAAGCUUGCUUCUCUGAUGUUAGCGGCGGACGGGUGAGUAACACGUGGAUAACCUACCUAUAAGACUGGGAUAACUUCGGGAAACCGGAGCUAAUACCGGAUAAUAUUUUGAACCGCAUGGUUCAAAAGUGAUAGACGGUCUUGCUGUCACUUAUAGAUGGAUCCGCGCUGCAUUAGCUAGUUGGUAAGGUAACGGCUUACCAAGGCAACGAUGCAUAGCCGACCUGAGAGGGUGAUCGGCCACACUGGAACUGAGACACGGUCCAGACUCCUACGGGAGGCAGCAGUAGGGAAUCUUCCGCAAUGGGCGAAAGCCUGACGGAGCAACGCCGCGUGAGUGAUGAAGGUCUUCGGAUCGUAAAACUCUGUUAUUAGGGAAGAACAUAUGUGUAAGUAACUGUGCACAUCUUGACGGUACCUAAUCAGAAAGCCACGGCUAACUACGUG
rnacentral:rRNA from 1 species